UUCCGGUUGAUCCUGCCGGACCUGACUGCUAUCGGAUUGAUACUAAGCCAUGCGAGUCUUUGCAGUAAUGCAAGGCAUACGGCUCAGUAACACGUAGUCAACUUACCCUAUGGACGAGGAUAAUCUCGGGAAACUGAGCAUAAUACUCGAUAGAUCAUAAUGCCUGGAAUGGUUUAUGGUUAAAAUGAUUCGUCGCCAUAGGAUGGGACUGCGGCCUAUCAGCUUGUUGGUGAGGUAAUGGCCCACCAAGGCGAUUACAGGUACGGGCUCUGAGAGGAGAAGCCCGGAGAUGGGUACUGAGACAAGGACCCAGGCCCUAUGGGGCGCAGCAGGCGAGAAAACUUUGCAAUGUGCGAAAGCACGACAAGGUUAAUCCGAGUGAUUUCUGCUAAAGAAAUCUUUUGCAAGUCAUAAAACCACUAGUGAAUAAGGGGUGGGCAAGUUCUGGUGUCAGCCGCCGCGGUAAAACCAGCACCUCAAGUGGUCAGGAGGAUUAUUGGGCCUAAAGCAUCCGUAGCCGGCUCUGUAAGUUUUCGGUUAAAUCCAUGUGCUCAACGCAUGGGCUGCCGAAAAUACUGCAUAGCUAGGGAGUGGGAGAGGUAGACGGUACUCAGUAGGAAGGGGUAAAAUCCUUUGAUCUAUUGAUGACCACCUGUGGCGAAGGCGGUCUACCAGAACACGUUCGACGGUGAGGGAUGAAAGCUGGGGGAGCAAACCGGAUUAGAUACCCGGGUAGUCCCAGCUGUAAACGAUGCAGACUCGAUGAUGCAUUGGCAUAUAGCCAGUGCAGUGUCGCAGGGAAGCCGUUAAGUCUGCCGCCUGGGAAGUACGUACGCAAGUAUGAAACUUAAAGGAAUUGGCGGGGGAGCACCACAAGGGGUGAAGCCUGCGGUUCAAUUGGAGUCAACGCCGGG
rnacentral:rRNA from 1 species